UUCAAACAUUUUAUGGAGCGUUACUUUAGAUUCUAGUACUACAACAUCAUUUGAUAUCCUUGUCUGGUUUUCUGCUUCUGGAACAAGCAUUGUUUAAAAUAACUAUAACAUUGAAUACACUACUGACGGGAGCCUAACCUUAAAAUAUGUAGCUCUAAACAAUACUGGAGUUUACAAAAUCUUUGUAACAUACAAAGCAACGUCACCUGGGGACGCAACUACUGAGGAUACUGUUAAAGUGACUAUACAAGAAAUCCCUGACUGCUAUUGCUGCAAAGACAAAAAGACGAGGGAUAGUGUUUGCGGGACAUUCUUAGCAGUGUACAUUUGCGCAAUGGCUGUGUUAGUGUUUCGCGGUUAUAGAGUCUUUCCUCCAAAUCAGCCAAUAACAACAGUACUAUUGAUUUGCGCAAUAAUUCUCUUCAUUGUUGCAUUGACUGGGUUGAUUUUUAGUGCCAUCUGUCUGAGCAAAGCAAAGAACUGCUUUAAAGACGACACCAUUGCAGGAUUCAGUAUGGCAGGAAUCAGUGUAGUUGGAACAAUUGUAGUAGGAAUUCUGAUUUUCCUUAAUCAUGGAGAACCUGGU